rnacentral:rRNA from 1 species
GCGGACGGGUGAGUAACACGUGGGUAACCUACCUAUAAGACUGGGAUAACUUCGGGAAACCGGAGCUAAUACCGGAUAACAUUUGGAACCGCAUGGUUCUAAAGUGAAAGAUGGUUUUGCUAUCACUUAUAGAUGGACCCGCGCCGUAUUAGCUAGUUGGUAAGGUAACGGCUUACCAAGGCGACGAUACGUAGCCGACCUGAGAGGGUGAUCGGCCACACUGGAACUGAGACACGGUCCAGACUCCUACGGGAGGCAGCAGUAGGGAAUCUUCCGCAAUGGGCGAAAGCCUGACGGAGCAACGCCGCGUGAGUGAUGAAGGGUUUCGGCUCGUAAAACUCUGUUAUUAGGGAAGAACAAACGUGUAAGUAACUGUGCACGUCUUGACGGUACCUAAUCAGAAAGCCACGGCUAACUACGUGCCAGCAGCCGCGGUAAUACGUAGGUGGCAAGCGUUAUCCGGAAUUAUUGGGCGUAAAGCGCGCGUAGGCGGUUUCUUAAGUCUGAUGUGAAAGCCCACGGCUCAACCGUGGAGGGUCAUUGGAAACUGGGAAACUUGAGUGCAGAAGAGGAAAGUGGAAUUCCAUGUGUAGCGGUGAAAUGCGCAGAGAUAUGGAGGAACACCAGUGGCGAAGGCGACUUUCUGGUCUGUAACUGACGCUGAUGUGCGAAAGCGUGGGGAUCAAACAGGAUUAGAUACCCUGGUAGUCCACGCCGUAAACGAUGAGUGCUAAGUGUUAGGGGGUUUC